AGCUCUUCAAGUGAUCGGGACUAUUAUUGGGCUUAAAGUGUCCGUAGCCGGUUUGGUAAGUCCCUGGUUAAAGCUGGAAGCUUAACUUUCAGUUCGCUAGGGAAACUACCUUACUAGAGGGCGGGAAAGGUGUGAGGUACUCCAGGGGUAGCGGUGAAAUGCGAUAAUCCUUGGGGGACCACCAGUGGCGAAGGCGUCAGACUGGAACGCGCCUGACGGUGAGGGACGAAAGCCAGGGGAGCGAACGG
rnacentral:rRNA from 1 species